rnacentral:lncRNA from 1 species
AUGGGCACCCAGGAUCACCCAGGACACCCCCAACAAGGCUCCAGAACAUCUCUACCACCCCUGAGGGGCACCCAGGAUCUCCCAAGACCUCCCAAACGCUCUGGAUGGGCACCCAGGAUCUCUGAGGACCUGCCCACUGCCUCCAAUGGGCCACCAGGGCCCAUCUCCAGCCACGGCCACCCCGGGUGGGCGCCCGCCUCGGCGUUGGCGCCACGGGUUACCUUCUCCUGCAGGGCCUCGCGCAUCUCCUGGAUGCCGGUGCGCUUGAUGAAGUCGGGCAGCUCGAAGGGUGGCUUCUCGAUGCCCCUCUUGCCCUGCAGGUACUUGCGCUUGAAGCACCAGUGCCGGGGGACGGGCACCGAGUUGCGGGUGGCCUUGAGGUGCACCAGGAGCUUGGGGUCCUGCGCCGUCACGUCGUGCAUCUCCACCACGUCGGGGCGUGCCACCAGCUGCCGGGGUACAGGCGGGCGCCGGUGUCACCCUCGGGGUGUCGCCGGCACGGGGCUCGCCGGGCAGGCAGGGGGGACCCCGAUGUCGUCUACAUGGUAUGGGGCACCCCGGGGUGACACGGUUGUCCCCAGGUGGGCACACGGGUGUCACGUCCUCUACAAGGUGGGCACAGGGCACCUUGGGGUGGCACAGCUGUCCCCAGGCGGGCACACGGGUGUCGUGUCCUCUACAAGGCGGGCACAGGGCACCUUGGGGUGGCACAGCUGUCCCCAGGUGGGCACACGGGUGUCACGUCCUCUACAAGCUGGGCACAGGGCACCUCGGGGUGGCACAGCUGUCCCCAGGUGGGCACACGGGUGUCAUGUCCUCUACAAGGUGGGCACAGGGCACCUCGGGGUGGCACAGCUGUCCCCAGGUGGGCACACGGGUGUCACGUCCUCUACAAGGUGGGCACAGGGCACCUCGGGGUGGCACAGCUGUCCCCAGGUGGGCACACGGGUGUCAUGUCCUCUACAAGGUGGGCACAGGGCACCUUGGGGUGGCACAGCUGUCCCCAGGUGGGCACACGGGUGUCAUGUCCUCUACAAGCUGGGCACAGGGCACCUCGGGGUGGCACAGCUGUCCCCAGGUGGGCACACGGGUGUUGUGUCCUCUACAAGGUGGGCACAGGGCACCUCGGGGUGGCACAGCUGUCCCCAGGUGGGCACACGGGUGUCACGUCCACCCCGAGGCGGGCAGAGGACACCACGUCCCCUCACCUGCUUCAGCUCGGCCACGGUGAAGCGGUUCAUGCGCCGCAGCUUCUUCUUCGACAGCUUGGGCACCUCGGGCUUCUUCUCCUGCCAACRGCACCCCGGGGUGUCAGGGACAGGGUGCCAGUGGGUCCUGCCACCCCUGGCCCCUCAGCGCGUCCCCUCUGCUCCCUGUCACCCUGGUGCCCACCACGGUCCCAGUCUGCACCACAGUGUCCAUUCUAGUGCUCAUCUCCACCAUGAUGUCCGGUCCAGYCCACAUCCCACCCAUGGUUCCCACCAUGGUCCCCAUCUCUGCCAUGGUGCCCAUCUCCACCACGAUGGACAUCACGGUUCCUGA